rnacentral:rRNA from 1 species
CGCACUCCUACGGGAGGCAGCAGUGGGGAAUAUUGCACAAUGGGCGCAAGCCUGAUGCAGCCAUGCCGCGUGUAUGAAGAAGGCCUUCGGGUUGUAAAGUACUUUCAGCAGUGAGGAAGGUGGGUAUGUUAAUAGCAUAUUCAUUUGACGUUAGCUGCAGAAGAAGCACCGGCUAACUCCGUGCCAGCAGCCGCGGUAAUACGGAGGGUGCGAGCGUUAAUCGGAAUUACUGGGCGUAAAGCGCAUGCAGGUGGUUUGUUAAGUCAGAUGUGAAAGCCCGGGGCUCAACCUCGGAAUUGCAUUUGAAACUGGCAAACUAGAGUACUGUAGAGGGGGUAGAAUUUCAGGUGUAGCGGUGAAAUGCGUAGAGAUCUGAAGGAAUACCGGUGGCGAAGGCGGCCCCCUGGACAGAUACUGACACUCAGAUGCGAAAGCGUGGGGAGCAAACAGGAUUAGAUACCCUGGUAG